rnacentral:lncRNA from 1 species
GGAUCCAGUACUUGGAGUCUUUUAUUACUGUCAAUGAUUACAGACGAACCAGCUUAUUUAGAGGACGAAAAUCAUCCUGAUCAAGUUCCAUCACAGGAAAUGGUACGCAAGCCUCAAAAAAGUGCGUAGGUAACAUGAUGUUGAAAGAACGAGGAGAUUGGAAAAGAAAGAAGUAAAUUGAGAGCUAUACAGAUAAAUCUAAAAGUAAACAUAGAGGACAAUGAUGCAUUAGAGACUGGCAUAUCAUCUCAUACGGACAACACUGCAGGAGAGUUUUUUUUAUAUUUGAACAAUUCAGCUUCGCUUCAAAGAAAGUUGGAUGCAUUGGAAAAAAAAUUUAAGCUCACCGUUUGGACUUACGGAAGAUAUUGAAAAUGCUAUAAAGUAGGGAUAUUAUA